GUGAAUCAUCGAAUUUUUGAACGCAAAUUGCACUCUCCUCGGAGAGUAUGCCUGUUUGAGGUCCAGCCUAUAAAAAAUCGACAUCGCUUCUGUUUCGCGGUGGCGUUCGUCGGACAUUGGGUCAUCUUUAAUCUUUUGCUUUUAAGCGACUUAAAUUUUUCUUUUUGGUUCCAUGAACGUUUUUAAGAUUUAUUUCUUUACACGUUCACGGUAUCGAUUUUUAUUUGACGUCACCAUCAUAUCUGAUC
rnacentral:misc_RNA from 1 species